rnacentral:piRNA from 1 species
UAAAUUGAAAUAGAAGUACAAUAGCGAAUUU